CCACACCACUCCCUUACUCGGAUCGUCCGGCACGUUCCUGCCGGUGGAGGAGAAGAUCA
rfam:Streptomyces sp. SirexAA-E, complete genome.